rnacentral:lncRNA from 1 species
UAAAAGAAAAAGGUUGCUUAAAAUCACGUUCCGAAUUUUCACUUUUCCAAUAUCACUUUGAAACAGGAUGUUUGCACCCCAAUCCAAUAAUAUCCAACUAGCUACAACGUUAUAGCUCUUCUGGAAUAACCCAGCGCCAAACUCCAGAAGCAUAACAAGAACAGAGGGACAGUAAAAUGAUGAGUAUAAUGUCUCUUAGUGGAGAGAUAAGUCCAGGAACAAUAAAGCAUCAAAAGGAACUUGAAAGGGAACCCUGGUUAUUCCUUUAACCAGACAAAUCCAAACAAUUGUAACAGGAUUCUACAAUUAAACAAAAAGAUUUUGCGUAAUGCCUCAUCAAGUUGAAACAAAAGGUUAUAUGAAUGUAUAUGCAGUAACUGCACAUAACAUAGAUGCAUUCACCUAAAGAAGUUUUUGUUAAAUGCACCUAUGCUUCCACUUUCAAGACGAACAAACUCACCUUAAUAGCCUGGCAUCCAUCAGUCACUCAUCCUCAUCAAAGUCCAUGAGGAAGUCCGUUAAAUUCUCAGAAUCAUCUACAGCUUCUUCCAGAGACAUGUCUUUCUUUUUGGGUUUAUCC